GGAGGACCCCAUGCCCGAAGGGCGGCGGCCAAGAGGAGUUACCCCACGUCCGAGGUCAGGGGCAACGGCCGAGAGUGCCAGGCUGCGACGGCGCAGGAACAGCCGAGAGGAGCUACCCCGCGUCCGAGGUCGGAGCGGUGACGAGAGGAGUUACCCCGUGUCCGAGGUCAGGGGCGGCGGCCGGGAGGACCAACCCCACGCCUGAGGCCAGGGGUGGCGGCCUCGAGGACCAACCCCACAUCCAAGGAGCCGUGGCUGCGGGAGCAGGAGGGCCUAGAGGAGCUAUCCCACAUUGAAGCAGUUCCCUCGCUGACAAAGACCUGGACGUGACCUCGAAUAUCUGCAGCUUGGAAAAUGUUACACGGAGCCACAGAUGACUUCAGGCAGGAGUUCCAGGGCCUGAUGAACAGCUACCUCUGGACCGUGACUGUCAGUGCCUUUUCCUGAAAGCCUCAUCUGCCCCCAGGACUCUAGCCACUGAAAAGGACCCAAGCUACGAAACUGCCCUCAAUGAAGAAUGAAAACACCAUUUUGGCUUUUCCAAACUAAUGACUGGAAGCUCCCCGAGGACAGAAAGUGUAUACACUUUGAUCUCAUAUCUUCAUCACCUAGCUCAGUGCCUGGCACACAGAAAGCCAUUGAGUAGCCGUUCAAUGAAACAUUCAUCUUUAUCCUUCCACACAAUUUGACUCAAUGCUUUCUAUAUAAUGGAUGCUCAAUACCAAUUUGAUGAAUCAGAUCAAAUUGACACAUUGCUCAAAUUAUCUGAUAGAGAAUGCAGACACAGAGUACCACAAUUAGCCCGCUUAGGGACUAUUAAAAGGUUAUUUGCUGAAAAAUGGAUUUGACUCUGCUGAUCAAUGACAUCUGAUCACUAAGGUGAUCAGAAUAAGCAGACCAUGAUAUGGUUUCUGAAAUCAUCUGAAGAUACUGGUGUUUGAUUUUUACUGUUUUGCAAUUCCACCUAUGCCUAGACAUUGGCCACUAUAGGGAUUGGUAGGAAUAAAAAUGACCAUAAUCCUAAUUAUAAUAACUAUUAAUAGGCAUGUAUGAUGUCCUGUUCAUAUAUGCAUCAACUCAAAUAAUUCUCCCAAUAACCCUGUAAAGUAUAAACUGCUAUUAUUCUACUUUACAGAUAAAAUAAGUGAGACUGAAAAAAGUUCAA
ensembl:lncRNA